UUGGGAAUAGAAUUUCUCAAAAAAAAAAUUACCAUGAAAAUUCUAGGUAUUGUUCUAUGACAAUUCCAACCGAAGGUGACUGCUAUGGAAUCCGAUUAUGAGGAACGGGCGCGACCCUUAAAAGAAGUAAUUACUACUUGGAUGGAUGAGAUAGUUAGACAAGAAGAUGACUUCAUGUCUGAGACAUGGGGCGCGUCCUUAGGGGCCUGGUUUGAAUAAUUUCAUGUCUGGAAAAUGGGGCGCGCUCUUAGGGGCCUGCAUCGUAUAAAAUGGUGUAUGUUGUAAUGUUAGCUCUUCCUAUAAGAAGAGUGUGAUGUCGCGAAGACAACGCCUCCAGGGAACAUGAAGACAACUUCUUUUAGGGGAUACAAAGACUUAACCCUUCGAGAGAUACAAAGAUCGCUCCUCUGGGAAUAUGAAGACUUAGAUAUCCCGAAACCCAUCUGACGUGAUCUUCGAUUCUCAAUUUUGUAUUCUGUCUGGUUGUACUCGUGCGGAGACUUGAGGUGAUCACGAUUAUUACUAAAGGCUCUCCAGGGUGAUAUGAAGAAUGGUCAAAUGUUUGGAUCAUGUAUACUGAUUAGUUAUCCUCAUCGGGUAUCGAGACGAUCGAAUGUCCCGAUUGCUUAGGGAGAGACCUUGCCCUGCCCUCAGGGGGUUGAGGACACGUCCUUACACCUUAAGGAUGGUCAGGGCUCUCCGGAUGACUCCUUCCAUGAUACGAAGAGUAGCGGUUGGUGUUACCUCCUACAGUUAGAGAUAAUGUCGUAUCCGUGAUGUACUUGGAUUAGGAACAGUUUUAUAGUUCGCCUCAAGACUAGUCCUUGGCAUAGUUGGACUCUCCUUCUGAGCAUAUUGGAUGGAAGACUCUUGAAGAGUAGUUGAUAAGCCACCACCGUGGUUAUAGACUUCUCUGCGGGGCUUACUUCUAAUCAAAUUAGGCAUCUGACCUCCUAAAACUACGUCUGGCUUGAUUUCUAAAUACAAGAUAAGUAGGCACAUUAAAGAGAUGAGAGCUAAGAAGUAACCUAUAAUACUUUUGAUCUCAGCCACUCUUAAAUACACAGCCACCACACCUGACAACAAAAUCACCGU
rnacentral:lncRNA from 1 species